rnacentral:tRNA from 2 species
GCCCGGGUGGCCCAACGGCAGAGGCGCACCGCUCAGAACGGUGAGGUUGCGCGUUCGAAUCGCGCUCCGGGUAC